rnacentral:lncRNA from 1 species
AGAUGAGCUGCGUGAUUAUGAUUGUAUACAAUGGUUUGAGAUUAAAGAAAGAUUUCAAAAAAGUACACUUGGAUGUUAAAGCUGUUGACAACACAAAGGAAAUAAAAAUCGAAAUAGAGAAACAUAUAUUGGAACCAUCCAUGGAGAAUGAAGCUCUUAAAUCUAGAAAAAAGAAAAAGAAAAAGAGUAAAUCAGGCAAAAUAUCACAGACAAACAAGUCGAAGACAAGAGAAUCAAUUGAAUUUCAAAAGAAACAAAAUACAAUUAUCCAGGAACAAUCUGUAAAUACAAUUGAGUUACAACCUAUUAAAUCGAAGGAAAUGGAAGACAAUGAGAAAGUCAUUGGCGACAGUAAACAAGUUAACAAAAUAUCCGGUACAAUUGAUGGUGAGGAAGUAGAUACAUUUGCUGAAUAUAAUAGCACAGAGUCGGAUACACAUAUGAAAGAUGCUACUGAAACAACAGAUUUGUAAAAAGUUAUAAAAGAGCUUGCUGCUUAUUGAUAUUUUGUUAUAUAGAUAUAGGAAGAUGUGUUGUUAUAUGUCUUGUUUUAUAAUAUGUUCCUUUAAAAUUAAUGUUGAUAAAUAAGCUUCAAGGUUGUAUACCUCUGAGAAGACC